rnacentral:rRNA from 1 species
CGCGGUAAUACUGGCAGAACGAGUGGUGUCCACGAAUAUUGGGUCUAAAGAGACCGUAGCUGGCUUGUUAAGUCCACUGUGAAAUCUUGGGGCUCAACCUCAAGGCGUGCAGUGGAUACUGGCAGACUCGAGAGCGGGGGAGGUCAGGAGUACUUACGGGGUAUGAGUAAAAUCGGUUGAUCCUGUAAGGACUACCAGUGGCGAAGGCGCCUGACCAAAACGCGUCUGACAGUGAGGGUCGAAGGCUAGGAGAACGAAUCGGAUUAGAUACCCGAGUAGCCCUAGCAGUAAAUCAUGCAGACUGUGGUGUUGCCAUGGCUUCGGGCCAUGGCAGUGCUGUAGCGUAGGUGUUAAGUCUGCCACCUGGGGAGUACGGCCGCAAGGUUGAAACUUAAAGGAAUUGGCGGGGGAGCACCACAAGGGGUGGAUGCUGCGGUUCAAUUGGAUCAACGCCGGGAA